rnacentral:rRNA from 1 species
CCUACGGGGGGCUGCAGUGGGGAAUAUUGGACAAUGGGGGCAACCCUGAUCCAGCCAUGCCGCGUGUGUGAAGAAGGCCCUCGGGUUGUAAAGCACUUUCAGUGAGGAAGAACACCUGGUGGUUAAUACCCAUCAGGAAAGACAUCACUCACAGAAGAAGCACCGGCUAACUCCGUGCCAGCAGCCGCGGUAAUACGGAGGGUGCGAGCGUUAAUCGGAAUUACUGGGCGUAAAGCGCGCGUAGGUGGCUUGAUAAGCCGGUUGUGAAAGCCCCGGGCUCAACCUGGGAACGGCAUCCGGAACUGUCAAGCUAGAGUGCAGGAGAGGAAGGUAGAAUUCCCGGUGUAGCGGUGAAAUGCGUAGAGAUCGGGAGGAAUACCAGUGGCGAAGGCGGCCUUCUGGACUGACACUGACACUGAGGUGCGAAAGCGUGGGUAGCAAACAGGAUUAGAUACCCUAGUAGUC